rnacentral:lncRNA from 1 species
CCACGCAGUGACUCAGCGACUCAGAUGACUUCCACUGUGUCGCUCUUACAUCUCAGCACACGGCUUCCACGAUUGCAGAGGCAGGGGAGGAAAAGUUGGCAAACAGGCACCAGCUGUUACACGCUUCAGUCCUGAAACACGUGACACUUGUUCUCAUCCCCUUGACCUGCAAUGGGUCACAUGAGCCAAUCUGACCGCAAGAGAGGCUAUGAAAUAGGGGAAACCUACGGAUAUCUGGAGAGUAAAACUCUGCUACAAUUGCUAACAGCUUUCUCCAUGCCAGGGACAAAUCUGGUAGAUCUUAGAGUGUUUUCCUCCUGUCAGCCGAUCUCCCAUCACUUGAGUGGCUCUGAAAUUACUGAAAAAGCUCCCGCACAGGCAGGCAGGACACAUUUUGCUCCCCCGCUCCUCUUCAGGAUUUGGACGCAGUGUCACGGAGCCAUUAGCAGUGGAGCGUGCUGCAGGAGCUGCUUUUGGGAACACCUUUUGAGUGGCAAACCACUCUCGAAUGAGUGGCAAAGGCUGGAUUGGAACCCGGGGCCACCUGACUUCCCAGCCCGAAUUGCUGUCUGAUUUACUUCAGUUUGCUCAGGCCGUGGCGUCGCUUCAAACAGUAUGUUUCUGAAAGAGAAAGUCAGUGAACCUGUAACCGGCAGGCUGGUUCCAAAACACAGGACCUAUUUUUACUCUUUGCUUUUCACUGACUCAUCCAGCGGUUCUGAGACUCUCCCCAGACCGUCUGCUGCCACCGUUGAAGAUUCUGCCCAGCUGGGAGGAAGUUCUGUCCCUCUUCCUUCAUCCAGGUUGCCAGACAGUUGGCAGCCAGCCCUCAGGCAAGGGUCUGCAGCCCUUGCAAACACAACAGGACAGAUGGCGCGAAUGCUGAAAAACUAAGGCACAGAGAGGUGAAAUACUUGACCAAAGAUGACCUACAAAGCGGAGGGAGAGCUGGCCGAGAGCUCAGGCGGCCUGGUAACCACACCGAUGCGCUUCCC